rnacentral:SRP_RNA from 1 species
GUUCAGGUACUGUUCAAGAAACCGCUUCCGAACCCCGCCAGAUUCGGAAGAAAGCAACGGUAGGAAGAUGGUUCCUGUGUUCAGUUCACCUGGACUCU